rnacentral:rRNA from 1 species
AACGAACGCUGGCGGCAUGCCUAACACAUGCAAGUCGAACGAGACCUUCGGGUCUAGUGGCGCAAGGGUGCGUAACGCGUGGGAACCUGCCCUUAGGUUCGGAAUAACUCCCCGAAAGGGGUGCUAAUACCGGAUAAUGUCUUCGGACCAAAGAUUUAUCGCCUUUGGAUGGGCCCGCGUUGGAUUAGCUAGUUGGUAGGGUAAAAGCCUACCAAGGCGACGAUCCAUAGCUGGUCUGAGAGGAUGAUCAGCCACACUGGGACUGAGACACGGCCCAGACUCCUACGGGAGGCAGCAGUGGGGAAUAUUGGACAAUGGGCGAAAGCCUGAUCCAGCAAUGCCGCGUGAGUGAUGAAGGCCUUAGGGUUGUAAAGCUCCUUUACCCGGGAUGAUAAUGACAGUACCGGGAGAAUAAGCUCCGGCUAACUCCGUG